GGAAUUGCGGGGAGCACCACAACGGGUGGAGCUUGCGGUUUAAUUGGAUUCAACGCCGGAAAUCUUACCGGGACCGACAGCAAUAUGAAGGCCAGGCUGAAGACUUUGCCGGAUUAGCUGAGAGGUGGUGCAUGGCCGUCGUCAGUUCGUACUGUGAAGCAUCCUGUUAAGUCAGGCAACGAGCGAGACCCACGCCCACAGUUGCCAGCGUACUCUCUGGAGUGACGGGUACACUGUGGGACCGCCGCUGCUAAAGCGGAGGAAGGAAUGGGCAACGGUAGGUCAGUAUGCCCCGAAUAUCCCGGGCUACACGCGAGCUACAAUGGUUGGUACAAUGGGUAUCUACCCCGAAAGGGGACGGGAAUCUCCUAAAACCAAUCUUAGUUCGGAUUGAGGGCUGCAACUCGCCCUCAUGAAGCUGGAAUCCGUAGUAAUCGCGUUUCAACAGAACGCGGUGAAUACGUCCCUGCUCCUU
rnacentral:rRNA from 1 species